UUUUCGCUUUAAUGUUAGCUCCUCAGGUGCAUAUUUACAAUCUGUAAAUAUAAUUUACAAAUUGUAAAUAUGCACCUGAGGAGCUAACAUUAAAGCGAAAACGUU